rnacentral:rRNA from 1 species
CACGGGAGCAAUCCUGGUGGCGAGUGGCGAACGGGUGAGUAAUAUAUCGGAACGUGCCCAGUCGUGGGGGAUAACGUAGAGAAAUUUACGCUAAUACCGCAUACGAUCUAAGGAUGAAAGCGGGGGAUCGCAAGACCUCGCGCGAUUGGAGCGGCCGAUGGCUGAUUAGCUAGUUGGUGGGGUAAAGGCCUACCAAGGCUACGAUCAGUAGCUGGUCUGAGAGGACGACCAGCCACACUGGGACUGAGACACGGCCCAGACUCC